rnacentral:rRNA from 1 species
UACAGAGGGUGCAAGCGUUGUUCGGAAUUAUUGGGUGUAAAGCGCGUGUAGGCGGCUUGGCAAGUCGGGUGUGAAAUCCCUCAGCUCAACUGAGGAAGUGCGCCCGAAACUGCUUAGCUUGAGUGCCGGAGAGGAUGGCGGAAUUCCCCAAGUAGAGGUGAAAUUCGUAGAUAUGGGGAGGAACACCGGUGGCGAAGGCGGCCAUCUGGACGGUAACUGACGCUGAGACGCGAAAGCGUGGGUAGCAAACAGG